rnacentral:misc_RNA from 1 species
UGAGUAGUCAUACAUAUAGAGAGAGUGAUAGAGAGAGACAGACAAAUACAUAAGAUAAAUAAAAGACAUUCAUAUAUGCAUAUAUUGUAUGAUAUGUCUGAAGAUGUUUUGGCUACAUUCUGAUGAGAAAAGGUCUCAAGAGAUUCUUUUUCAUGUAUGGUUAGUGCAUAACUUGAUAGUAUUAUUAUAUUUCGCUUUACACAAAGGAGGACAUGCUGAGCAAGCAGAACAUGUAUUGAAUAUCAUCUAGCAUAUUUUGUAUUGAUUCUGAAAGAGUUUUUUUAAUGGCAAGUCCAUUACUGCCAAAAACAUGUAUUUAAUGUUGGGGAAUCAUGGAUUCACCCUCUUGUUCACAACUCACCUUCUAAUGUGGACUUUUACACACACAGGCAGCACAUCAGAAGAAGUAAAACGAGUUGAUUCAGUCUUAUGACUAGUGAUCUUCCAAAACUUAAUGAAUUUUUUGAUAUAUUUUUCUCAUGUAGGAACCUCCAGUUUUUGGGAAGAG